GGCCGCUUAGCUCAGCUGGUUAGAGCAUCGUACUAAUACGCAGCUUGCAAAUUAGUCCAUGCGGAGGUCGGCAGUUCGAUCCUGUCAGUGGUCA
rnacentral:tRNA from 1 species